GACGAACGCUGGCGGCGUGCUUAACACAUGCAAGUCGAACGGUAAGGCCCCUUCGGGGGUACACGAGUGGCGAACGGGUGAGUAACACGUGGGUAAUCUGCCCUGCACUUCGGGAUAAGCCUGGGAAACUGGGUCUAAUACCGGAUAUGAGCUCUCAUCGCAUGGCGGGGGUUGGAAAGUUUUUCGGUGCAGGAUGAGCCCGCGGCCUAUCAGCUUGUUGGUGGGGUGAUGGCCUACCACGGCGACGACGGGUAGCGGGCCUGAGAGGGUGAUCGGCCACACUGGGACUGAGACGCGGCCCAGACUCGUACGGGAGGCCGCAGUGGGGAAUAUUGCACAAUGGGGGGAAGCCUGAUGCAGCGCCGGCGCGUGGGGGAUGACGGUCUUCGGAUUGUAAACCACUUUCAGUAGGGACGAAGCGCAAGUGACGGUACCUGCAGAAGAAGCACCGGCCAACUACGUGCCAGCCGCCGCCGUAA
rnacentral:rRNA from 1 species